CUGCAAGUUUAGAGGAAGGCGUUUCUAUUCCUAAUAAGGAAAGAUGGGGAAAAAUCUUUGCCAUAGUGGUACCAGUUUCUCUACUUGCUGU
rnacentral:tRNA from 1 species